UACAGAUUGAGCAUUCAAAAUCUGAAAGGCUCUGAAAUCUUAAACUUGUUGAGUGCUGACAUGACACCCAGAAGUUUCAGAUUUUAGAGCAUUUUGGAUUUCAAAUCCUCGGAUUAGAGG
rnacentral:precursor_RNA from 13 species